UAUCAAGUGCCUUUGGAGGGAAGGCGGUGUCACAUCACCAAGGAGCAGCUUGAGUUCCUCAUAGAUUGUCAUAUGACCAUCAGACAAAUGGCAGAUGUUCUCAAUGUGUCCCACUCUGUGGUCAAGCGGCGCAUGAGGUGGAGGAUUGUUAUCCAUGGUGCUGUGGAUGGUUACAGCAGACUUGUUGUGUUUCUGAAGGCCUCUGACAACAACAGGACUGCCACAGUCAUGGAUGUCAUUCGAAGCAGUCAUCACCAGCUACGGAGUACAUCCCGGGAUUUGUUCUCUAGAAAGGUACGACAGACAUCUUCAACUCUAAACGGAUGGGGACCAGAGUUUAGACACAGGUGGCCUUAACAAAAGUUAAGUACUUCCCCAUUCCAGUACGAUUCUGCUUGGUCAUAUUUGGAGAGACUCAGGUACUGUUAAGAUGUACGGCAUAUGGUUGUUGUAUUUGCUCUAUGGCGCUUUAGCACAACAUUCCAUCUGCUGACGCAAUAUUUGUCUUCCACUCUGUACAACACGACCCAGGAGAGGCCUACUGCAAGCACUGGUGUGGAGCCUUCAGAGCGUGCCUGCUGUGGGAGGACAACAGAACAUUGUGAAUGGACAUUAUUAAAACAGAACUUACAUUUUUGUAAUGCCCAAUCGGGACUUUUAUAAAUUGUUAAAAUAAAUAAUUGUUUGGAGAACGCCCUAUAGUUAAAAAAAUUAACUUUGAAGAUAGUGGUUCGCCCCCGUUACAUUUUAUAUCACUGUGAUUAACAGAAAACUAUUACAGUUAGUAACAUAACAUUGUUGACACAUUGCAACAGCUCAAAUGAUGUGGUUGAAGAUGGACUAGUGCAGGGCUCCUAACCUUGUUCCUGGAGAGCUACUGUCUUGUAGGUUCACUCCGACCCUAAUCUAGUGCACCGGAUUUGAAUAAUUACCUGCUUAAUAAGUUAAUCAGGUUAGUUACAAUUGAGGUUGGAUUGAAAACCUACAGGAGGGAACAGGGUUGGAGAGCCCUGAUGUAAACCUACAGGAGGGAACAGGGUUGGAGAGCCCUGAUGUAAACCUUCAGGAGGGAACAGGGUUGGAGAGCCCUGAUGUAAACCUACAGGAUGGAACAGGGUUGGAGAGCCCUGAUGUAAACCUUCAGGAGGGAACAGGGUUGAUGUAAACCUACAGGAGGGUCAGGGUUGGAGAGCCCUGAUGUAAACCUUCAGGAGGGAACAGGGUUGGAGAGCCCUGAUGUAAACCUUCAGGAGGGAACAGGGUUGGAGAGCCCUGAUGUAAACCUACAGGAUGAAACAGGGUUGGAGAGCCCUGACGUAAACCUUCAGGAGGGAACAGGGUUGAUGUAAACCUACAGGAGGGAACAGGGUUGGAGAGCCCUGAUGUAAACCUUCAGGAGGGAACAGGGUUGGAGAGCCCUGAUGUAAA